rnacentral:rRNA from 1 species
UACGUAGGGUGCGAGCGUUAAUCGGAAUUACUGGGCGUAAAGCGUGCGCAGGCGGUUUUGCAAGCCGGAUGUGAAAUCCCCGGGCUUAACCUGGGAAUGGCAUUUGGGACUGCAAGGCUGGAGUGCGGCAGAGGAGACUGGAAUUCCUGGUGUAGCAGUGAAAUGCGUAGAUAUCAGGAGGAACACCGAUGGCGAAGGCAGGUCUCUGGGCUGACACUGACGCUCAUGCACGAAAGCGUGGGGAGCGAACAACGGAUGAGAAACCCCUACGUA